AUACGGAGGAUGCGAGCGUUAUCCGGAUUUAUUGGGUUUAAAGGGUGCGCAGGCGGUCUGUCAAGUCAGCGGUCAAACUGCGGCGCUCAACGCCGUACCGCCGUUGAAACUGGCGGACUCGAGUGUGUGGGAGGAUGGCGGAAUGCGCGGUGUAGCGGUGAAAUGCAUAGAUAUCGCGCAGAACCCCGAUUGCGAAGGCAGCUGUCCACCACGCCACUGACGCUCAUGCACGAAAGCGUGGGUAUCGAACAGGAUUAGAUACCCUGGUAGUCCACGCGGUAAACGAUGAUAACUAGUUAUCCGGUCCGAUUGGGGAUUGGGUGACCGAGCGAAAGCGUUAAGUUAUCCACCUGGGGAGUACGCCGGCAACGGUGAAACUCAAAGGAAUUGACGGGG
rnacentral:rRNA from 1 species